GCCGGGUGCAGUGGUGAGCACCUGUAGUCCAGGCUCCUCAGGAGGCUGAGGUAGGAGGAUCAUUAGAGUCCAGGAGGCCAAGGCUGCAGCGAGCUAUGAUUGUGCCACUGCACUCCAGCCUGGACGAAAGAGUGAGACCCUGUCUCAA
rnacentral:SRP_RNA from 1 species